AUAUUUUGACAUCCAUACAAAAUACUAAACAACUCUAACUAUAGUAAUUGCCGAAAAACAAUAGAAGCAAAAUAUGGUUCAGGUAAUUGCCUAAUUGUCCAAUGUGUAACUUUUUGGAAACUAUAUUUUGACACCAAAAAUAAAAAGCUUUUGUUAAUUUUCUUACUUUAUAGCUGUCUAUUAACAUUAACAAAUGAUAUCUAACUUAAUCUAUACUAUGAAACUUGAGAAACGUGCACGUCUAUAUAUCGUAGAUAAGAGGUAUGCACACAUAUGUCAGCGAUAGCGCACAAAGAAACACGGACAUUUUAAACAGCGUAUAGAAAGAUAACGAAAAUUAUUAAUAGUUAAUCAAUAUUUAAGUUCAAAACAUUUCCGGUAUGGGGACGUCCUAAAUCUAUAGAGGAAUAUAAAGUUGUCAUAUUUGGAUAUCUAUACGUUAUAAAACUGGUGACUUCGAUCUAACAAGUUAAAACGAUGAAUAUGGAUGAUACGUUGACUAUUGCUAUAUCUGUUUUUGAUAUCAUCAUUUUCUGUGGCAUUUGCAUACUUACAGCAGUUAUUAUACAUAGGUGUUGCUGUUGCAAGUCAAGAGGACGAAAUGAAAGCGAGGCUAUUCCCAUGCCAUCAAUCAUCCCCAGUGAUAAUUUAGAUAACGUAUGUACAAGUGGUGAUACUGAACAAAAUGAAAACAUCAACAAUAUAUUAUCAGAACAAAUUUUCCAUAUACAAGAAGACCAUCCCCGCCCCGAGCCGUCGGCACCACCCCUACCACCGGAAUAUUAUAUAGAAUAUACUUGAGGCCGGUUGUUGUUUUAUACAGUGUGUGGCUAGUGAAUAUUUUAGAUAAAUAUGUCUUUCAACAUGAUGUAUCUUAUUGAAUAAGAAACAUAUACAUGUACAUGAAAGUGAUUAACAACGACACCGCUCUUUCGACAUGGAUGCCCAUACAGCCGCCUUCAUGUUCCUGUCUUCCACUGUUUCCGAGAUGUAACGGUAGUAACAAAUACAAUACGAUUAUCUUAAGUUCAGUAACUACUGAAGUUUUUCAGGGCUCAGUGCUAGGUCCUAUACUGUUUUUAAUCUAUAUCAAUGACCUGCCUUUGUCUAUGGAAAAAUCAGAAACUUAUAUUUUUGCUGAUGACACUACCCUUUCAACCUCUGAUGUAUCCCUUAAUUAACAGAGUAGUUGAAUCUCUUACUCAAGAUGUUUUAAAUGCCAACAAAUGAUAUGAUUUGAAUCGCAUGUCUAUCAAUGUUAACAAAACUAGGGACAUGUAUAUUUCCUCAAAACCAGGCAAAAUUAUAUUUAUGAAAGUAAUCCUUGUAUUUCAUAUAAAACAGAGCAAAUUUUUUGUAACUCUGAAGAAAAAUUAUUGGGUAUUACAAUUAAUAACACAUUGUCUUGGCAAAGCCAUAUUGAUAAUGUUCUUAAAAAAUGUAACUCAUUGUUACAUUUAUUAUCACGUAUAAAAUUAUUCAUAUCUAUACCUGUACGUAAAAUGUUUUACAAUGCAUAUAUUUUACCACAUCUUGAUUAUUGUUGCAUAAUUUACGGUAACUGUAGAUAAACUCAUUAAUUUCCAAAAGAGAGCUGCAAGACUAAUAAUUCUAGACAAAGAUUAUGACACCCCAUCUGCUGAACUUUUUUCUGAACUCCGCUGGAUGACCUUUUCACAGAGGGUUGUUUUUCAAAAAGCUAUUACGAUGUUUAAAAUAAUGAAUAAUCAUGCGCCUUCCUAUUUAUUGAAUAAUUUCAUUUUAUCGUCAGAUGUUCAUACUCGCAUUUUGCGUCCAUCAUCUGAUUUUCAACUUUAUACCCCUAGACCAAAUACUGAACGAUUUCGUAAGUCUUUUGUUUAUUCUGGAUCUUGUAUUUGGAACGGCCUUCCUGAUUAUAUUAAGUCUGCUACAUCUGUGAACCAUUUUAAAACCUUAUACUUGAGGUAUUAUCACGCAUUGAAGUAUACAAAUUGAUAAUCUCCUGUAUGUUUUUACAUUUAUGUAUUUUAAUAGUUUGAAUAUGUUAAAUUUAUAUUGUUCCUUGUUGAGGGCCUCAUGAAAGAUUGAUAUGUUUGUUCAAAUGAGUUCUCUCGUUAAAUAAAGUCUUUUUUAUUAUUAUUAUUAUUAUUAUUAUUAUUAUUAUUAUUAUUAUCUAUGUUUGUUAAUCAAAUAUCUUGAGAGUGAUUUUGAAGAACUUUCAUUUUUGUACUUAAUUGGUUAACUCUGAACAUUAUUGUAUUUAAGUCGUUCUGUAUGUUAUGUACAGAAAUCUAUGUAUUUUUCUGCCUAGGUAUAUAGCAAAUGCAUUAUUGUUGUUAAGCUUACACGUUUAUUCAAUACGACAUUCCCUUUGUUACAAA